rnacentral:rRNA from 1 species
AUUGAACGCUGGCGGCAGGCCUAACACAUGCAAGUCGAGCGAGCGGCGGACGGGUGAGUAAUGUCUGGGAAACUGCCUGAUGGAGGGGGAUAACUACUGGAAACGGUAGCUAAUACCGCAUACCAUCAGAUGUGCCCAGAUGGGAUUAGCUAGUAGGUGGGGUAACGGCUCACCUAGGCGACGAUCGCUAGCUGGUCUGAGAGGAUGACCAGCCACACGGGAACUGAGACACGGUCCAGAGUCCUGCGUGAGGCAGCAGUGGGGAAUAUGGCACAAUGGGCGAAAGCCUGAUGCAGCCAUGCCGCGUGUGUGAAGAAGGCCUUCGGGUUGUAAAGCACGUUCAGCGGGGAGGCGUUACCCGCAGAAGAAGCACCGGCUAACUCCGUGCCAGCAGCCGCGGUAAUAC